rnacentral:lncRNA from 10 species
GUGCUCCUAACUAGACACAUAAUGUUUAGUGUGCUGCCAUUUUUUCUGAGUGUUAGUUUUAAAUAGACUAUUGACAAAUUACAGAUUUUUUUCACGUAUUGAAAUUAUAUUCCAGAUGAUUUUGAGAUUUACUGGUAUAAUAUUCUCCUCAUGAGGUAGGAUGGAAGGGAAGAAAUAGAGAAAAAAUGUUCUGCUCUGAAAUAAAUGUGGUGUUUCCUGACAGCGUUUGUCAAGGGAGGAGGAAAUGAAACCAGGAUGUUUUGAAGAAACAAUGUUGAGUUUUGCAUAAAUAAAGAAGUAGAAUGAAAUUGAAAAUAAUUGGGUAUGUUUAUUGCCGGAGAGUUUCUGCAAUAUGCUACUGCAGUCCAUAUGCUUAUCAAUUAUGAGGAUUUUUGGCUUUCGGCUCUGGAAAAUAUGAGAAAUAUGGGCAAUUACUCUCUGAAGAAAGAGAUGGGGUUCCACCAUGUAGCCCCGGCUGGUCUUGAGCUCAUGAGCUCAAGCGAUUCACCUGCCUCAGCCUCCCAAAGUGCUGGGAUUACAAGUGUGAGCCACCAUUCCUGCCUCUAUACCUCUAAAGGUGUUGAAUAAUUUGAAUGGGAAUUUGAAGGUCCAUGGCUUCCAAACCAGCAGGAGUUAAGGCUUAAUUGCUUGGAAAUACAUUUUCAUGGCUGAUACCAGUAACAGAAAAAUGUCUGUAUGUCAAGAGGCUCUGUACUAAUCAGUUAACCAUAACAUGUGCCACCCCAUACCUUGGGCCAAUGUAACUGUUAACAGCUUGAAGCUAUUAAAAAUGUACCAAUGGAGAACUUUCUUAUACUUUUUUCACUAAUGUGCUUCUUCA